ACAUUAGUGAAUUGGUCAUCACGUCAGUCUGUCACACUGAAGGCCGCGAGUUCGAUCCUCGCAUGUA
rnacentral:tRNA from 1 species